UGACAAUAGCAAAGAGGGUCCACCUGUUCCCAUCCCGAACACAGAAGUUAAGCUCUUUAGCGCCGACGAUAGUGAAAGCUAAAAUAGGACGUUGCCAAGG
rnacentral:rRNA from 1 species